rnacentral:rRNA from 1 species
ACGGGCUUCGGUCUGGUGGCGAGUGGCGAACGGGUGAGUAAAGUAUCGGAACGUACCUUUCAGUGGGGGAUAACGUAGCGAAAGUUACGCUAAUACCGCAUAUUCUGUGAGCAGGAAAGCAGGGGAUCGCAAGACCUUGCGCUGAUUGAGCGGCCGAUAUCAGAUUAGCUAGUUGGUGGGGUAAAGGCCUACCAAGGCGACGAUCUGUAGCGGGUCUGAGAGGAUGAUCCGCCACACUGGAACUGAGACACGGUCCAGACUCCUACGGGAGGCAGCAGUGGGGAAUUUUGGACAAUGGGGGCAACCCUGAUCCAGCCAUGCCGCGUGAGUGAAGAAGGCCUUCGGGUUGUAAAGCUCUUUCGGCCGGGAAGAAAUCGCAUGGGCUAAUACCCUGUGUGGAUGACGGUACCGGAAUAAGAAGCACCGGCUAACUACGUGCCAGCAGCCGCGGUAAUACGUAGGGUGCGAGCGUUAAUCGGAAUUACUGGGCGUAAAGCGUGCGCAGGCGGUUUAGUAAGACAGGCGUGAAAUCCCCGGGCUCAACCUGGGGAACUGCGCUUGUGACUGCUAAGCUAGAGUAC